AUGAAGUUUGGGGAGCUUGCGGAGGCUUUGCGUAUCAGGCUUCUGCUUGACUACAACAGAGGUUAUGUGAAGGGUGUUUUUGCCAAGGCUGAUGAUUUUUCCCUAAAGAAGCAAUUUGCAUAUAUGAUAGCACGCUAUGGUUUAAGCAUGUUGAAUGGUGAUGAGUUCUCUGCUGAUGAAACUGAAAAGAAUGAAAUACAGAAAAUAGUUUAUAACACCAAACUGAAUGAGGGAUAUCUUACCCUUGCACGGGAUAUCGAGGUUAUGGAGCCAAAAUCUCCAGAGGACAUAUAUAAGGUUCAUUUGGUUGGCCAAGAGGCUAAAAGAUCUAUUAUGGAUUCCGGAAGACAUAAUCUGGGCACAAUUUUUGUCAACGCAUUUGUGAAUGCUGGAUUUUGCCUGGUUUGUUCUUAUAAACUUCCUCAGGAUCUUAAGGGAAAGUAG
rnacentral:rRNA from 1 species